rnacentral:rRNA from 1 species
CAGCAGCCGCGGUAACACGUAGGGUGCAAGCGUUAAUCGGAAUUACUGGGCGUAAAGCGUGCGCAGGCGGUUAUAUAAGUCAGAUGUGAAAUCCCCGGGCUCAACCUGGGAACUGCAUUUGAGACUGUAUGGCUAGAGUGUGUCAGAGGGGGGUAGAAUUCCACGUGUAGCAGUGAAAUGCGUAGAUAUGUGGAGGAAUACCGAUGGCGAAGGCAGCCCCCUGGGAUAACACUGACGCUCAUGCACGAAAGCGUGGGGAGCAAACAGGAUUAGAUACCCCGGUAGUCCCUGUCUCUUAUAC